rnacentral:rRNA from 1 species
AUUGAACGCUGGCGGCAGGCCUAACACAUGCCAGUCGAACGAGUGGCGGACUGGUGUGCACUGUCUCGGCAACUCCCUGAUGGAGGGAGAUAAGUAUUGGAAACGGUACCUAAUACCGCAUACCAUCAGAUGUGCCCAGAUGGGAUUAGCUAGUUGGUGGGGUAAAGGCUCACAAAGGCGACGAUCCCUAGCUGGUCUGAGAGGAUGAACAGCCACACUGGAACUGAGACACGGUCCAGACUCCUACGGGAGGCAGCAGUGGGGAAUAUUGCACAAUGGGCGCAAGCCUGAUGCAGCAAUGCCGCGUGUGUGAAGAAGGUCUUCGGGUUGUAAAGUACUGUCAGCGGGGAGGCGUGACCCGCAGAAUAAGCACCGGCUAACUCCGUGCCAGCAGCCGCGGUAAUAC